rnacentral:rRNA from 2 species
AAAUUGAAGAGUUUGAUCAUGGCUCAGAUUGAACGCUGGCGGCAGGCCUAACACAUGCAAGUCGAACGGUAACAGGAAGCAGCUUGCUGCUUUGCUGACGAGUGGCGGACGGGUGAGUAAUGUCUGGGAAACUGCCUGAUGGAGGGGGAUAACUACUGGAAACGGUGGCUAAUACCGCAUAACGUCGCAAGACCAAAGAGGGGGACCUUCGGGCCUCUUGCCAUCAGAUGUGCCCAGAUGGGAUUAGCUUGUUGGUGAGGUAACGGCUCACCAAGGCGACGAUCCCUAGCUGGUCUGAGAGGAUGACCAGCCACACUGGAACUGAGACACGGUCCAGACUCCUACGGGAGGCAGCAGUGGGGAAUAUUGCACAAUG